rnacentral:rRNA from 1 species
CCUACGUGUGGCAGCAGUGGGGAAUAUUGGACAAUGGGGGGAACCCUGAUCCAGCGACGCCGCGUGAGUGAAGAAGUAUUUCGGUAUGUAAAGCUCUAUCAGCAGGGAAGAAAAUGACGGUACCUGACUAAGAAGCCCCGGCUAACUACGUGCUAGCAGCCGCGGUAAUACGUAGGGGGCAAGCGUUAUCCGGAUUUACUGGGUGUAAAGGGAGCGUAGACGGUGCAGCAAGUCUGAUGUGAAAGGUCGGGGCCCAACCCCGGGACUGCAUUGGAAACUGUUGAACUGGAGUACAGGAGAGGUAAGCGGAAUUCCUAGUGUAGCGGUGAAAUGCGUAGAUAUUAGGAGGAACACCAGUGGCGAAGGCAGCUUACCAAGCUACUUCUGACGUUGAGGCACGAAAGCGUGGGGAGCAAACAGGAGUAGAUACCCCAGUAGUC